rnacentral:rRNA from 1 species
CAGCAGCCGCGGUAAUACGGAGGAUCCAAGCGUUAUCCGGAUUUAUUGGGUUUAAAGGGUGCGUAGGUGGCCUGUUAAGUCAGGGGUGAAAGACGGUAGCUUAACUAUCGCAGUGCCUUUGAUACUGAUGGGCUUGAAUACACUAGAGGUAGGCGGAAUGUGACAAGUAGCGGUGAAAUGCAUAGAUAUGUCACAGAACACCAAUUGCGAAGGCAGCUUACUAUGGUGUUAUUGACACUGAGGCACGAAAGCGUGGGGAUCAAACAGGAUUAGAUACCCGCGUAGUCCCUGUCUCUUAUAC